UAACUAACAGACUUGCAAAUUAGCUUUUACUAUGUUCAUUUAGUUGUUAAUAUGAUGUAAUGAGGUCCAUCAUCAAGGCUGGCUCACAUAACAACACGGUAUGCAGUUUACAGCUUUAUCAAUACCGAAACAAGACUUUGGAACGUGCAUUGUUGUGCAGAUGGUGCUGCUGUGGCAGCUGAGGUAUCACCAACCUCAGGUUCUAUCCUAAGUUGGUACCAAACCCCGUAAUCUAGAACCUAACACCACAGGUAACUCCCAAGCUUGAUAUGAAUAAAAAACAAUGAUAAAUUGAUGUAUGCGUAGAUCUGGCCCCGGGUAUGCAAUAAUUCUGCUGGUAUCAAUCAAAAGAUAAGUCCUGGUCCACUACACGGCCACAGUUCCAACGCCAGAGUGCAGUUCAUUUACUCAAAAUGAACCAUCAUUAAGACUUCCUAUGUUCUCGCAGGUGUACGAGAUGUCUGUCCUAGUGAUGAAGCUUUUUGACUAAACCCUAAACCCUAAAGUUCUUUGAUGAAUAUCUUUUCAGAUUGCUAGCUCUUGUCCGGCAUGAGUUCGGCCACUUUUGUGAUCAUGCUCGUGAGGUUCGUCUCAAUUUUUUUCCCUUAUGGUCUUGCCUCCAGAUUUCUAGCUCAAUCUGUUUGUAAGUCCUUGAACAAAAUGUAAGGGAUGUAAGUCUUUGAACAAAACUAACCAGGAUUCAAAGAAAUCUGCUGGUUCUUCAUUCCGGAAGGGUAUAGGGUUUAGGGUUUGCUCAUUGUUCAGAGUCUGUAGUAGCCAUCUAAGCCAGUACAUUGCCAAGAUGCCCCAAUAGCGUUGGAAAAGCAAUGAAGCAGAGAAGAUUAUCCUCACUUUAUCCCAAUCAAGCAAGGCAAAUGUGAUCCCGAAAACGGCCCCGCUACCUAUCGAUGGGGAUCAUAAUCCACAGUUGCUCUGUCACGUCUGCAAGAAAAAGUCAGCAACAGUAAUUUGAAGGGUUGCAGGUAUACAUUCUGCUCUGGGUGCAUCCAAAGCUUACGGCUUUGUCCAAUCUGCAAGAAGGAGAUUACUGGAUGUGAAACAAUUAAGCCGAAGUUAGUGGUGAACCCGUGCUCUUUUCUCUGGGAGGUGCCGAUGAUGCAGCGUUGGAUCCACUAAUUGGAAAAGCAAGCAAAACCUCUAAAAGCAAGGGAGUAUCUCAAGAUUCGAAUAAGUCCUCAUACGAGAAUUGUGCUGUUGAGUAUUUGGAUGACAGUGGUGAUGAAGGGCAAGGAUUACAACACUGGUGCAGCUAAGAUCAUUUAUGAAAAGAGGGCUGUGUUCAAUAGUAGCAGACCCUCUCUGGAAGCAAUCAUUCGAGGACAAGGACCAGGGUGCUGGAGGAAUCAGACCCACAAAUUGAAGCCAUGGAUAAGGAGGUCGUGAAGAGCAAGAAGGAGCUUGAAAAGGAGCCUGCAGCAACAGUGACGAAGACCAAACUAGCCCGUUUAAACAAUUUAAACCACUAUCGACUAGGAUAUGAAUGAGUUACUUGGCUUUGCAGAUCCCCUGCAGUAGUUGGAGAAAAGAGGUUUGAAGGAGGAGUUGGUAUCUGCUGCAGCUGGAAAGAAUGGUCCCGGAUGCCUUGCCGGAGCAUCGAAGGAGAGCGUUUCCAUCUUCCAAGGUCAACGGAAAGACAAAUACGAACUUGGAGACGUCGGUGGUGAUCCCAUCGUACUUGAAGUCCAACUUGCAGUUGCUGUUGAGCGCAGUGGCAUUGUAGAGGAAGUCCGUGUCGAUGGUGGAGCCCAUGGCGUUCGCGACCAAGCCCUUGACCUGGACGCUGUUCAUGCAGCUUCGAAGCAAGGUUUGCAACUAAACAGAAUAGUGGACUGACAUGAAUGAGGACCUCUGCUCAAUUACAUUGAUCAAGGAAAAAAAACGUUGGUUCAUUGUAAUUUCUUACAUUAACUUGGUGAUUUUGUUGCGCAUGAUUGCUGAAGUUGGUCUUUAGACGAAUGAUCACGUGGUUUUACACUAGCUGCCAGAUCCCUCUGCGCAUGUGAGACUGAGUAAUAUGAGAUCUGCUACUAACUUGAACAUUUGAUCAUGUCUGAUGUGGUGGGGUUGUUGGUUGAGUUCAAGGUUCGCUCGAGGUGUGUGUAUAGAUUGCAUUCCAAUUGCAGAUUGCAUCACCACUUUCGUUGUUGGAGUUAUUUGGUCUGAGAAUGAGAUUGUGUGCAAUUUUGUUGAGUUUGCUUUCGUGUUCAUAGGAUGUUGUUAUUUUCGGGCCGAUGUCUACGUACGUAAUCUUCAUUUGAAUGUAGAGCUCCAGUUUGACAACGCUAAUUUUGUGAAAUGAAGUUUACCACACAGCUGAAAUACUUCUCCUGACCACAUUUGUACAGUCCUUGAAGUGAAAUAAUCAGGAAAGAGUUUGAAGGAUUGCUAUUAAAGCCAUGCAUGGCAACCAGCAGUCUGAUGGCAGAUUAUCGGAAUUCGAGAUAACAUAUGACCCUCAGAUAUGUUAAUAUCGAUCGGUCCCCUACUAAGUAUGUUAUCUAGAUUAUCUGAGGGUCAUAUGUUAUCUCGAAUUCCGAUAAUCUGCCAUCAGGUGCCGUGUUAAUAUCGAUCGGUCCCCUACUAAGUAUGUUAAUAUGAACCUUAUAUUCGAUAAAAUGGCAGAAUCCAAUUGCCAAAAUUAUGACUCUCAGGGAACUAAAAGCUUUGAAAUCUAGUACAGCUUUGGAUUUCAGGUUUUCGGCGGGCGCCCAAAACUAUGCCAAAAUCACUGGAUUCUGCCAUUUUAUCGAAUACGAGGUUUAUGGAAAAUCCGCCGUCUCCGCUGAAAGCUUUUGCGCGGAAUUUAAGGCAGUCUACCACACGCUUUUUCCAACAUCGAGAUUGGAAGAAACUCUAGUAACUGCAUCAACAAAGUAACUGCAAGUACAUGCAGCAAAGCAAAGCAACUACGAAGUUGGGGUAUGGGACGGGUGACGUUGCAUGAAUCAGCAAGCAAGAACCAUUCAAAAAAUCAUUGUACAAGUGUUACAUGAGCUUCAAUUUAGUAACAAAUGCUAAGAAACUGUCCAACAGCCUCUUUUAUUGAUUCUAAUCCUGCACUAUGUGUAGGUAGAGGGCUCCCACUCUGAGUCCUCUGAGCAACCCUCUUCCAAAACAACUAACGGAUUCCUGGUCCUCAUCAGAUUCGAACUCCUAGUCAUCACGCUCUCGGUGUCUUUGCACAACAUCCUGUAUAUGUUGAAGCGCACAAUCACUCAGCUGAUAUAUAGACGUGCCGCCCUUCUGCUUAUGACGAGCCAAUGUUGCUGUGGUGAACUUGCUAGCACGGACCAGAUGCGAGAAUACUUGAGCGGGCCCUGCAUUGAUAAAUGAAUAUUUGUCUUAGUUCUGUCCAAUGUUGCAAGUGCUUGGUGAGGUUUUUUUGGUUUUUUGUUUUUCCUUCUUUCCUGACUCAGUUCCGUGUGCAUAUUCAGAGUUCUUUCCUGGGAUCUUUUGUUUAUGGUGCUUCAUGGUUCUGUAGCUGGCGGCUCUUCGUUUUUCACAAUGCCUAUUAUUCUGUGUUUGUUGGUUUCUUGUUUAUUAACCAAUUGGCGUGUAACAUGUAAUGUGUAAGCUUUUAUUAUCUUUUGGCUUUAUUUUGUGCUGUUAUUUGCCUUUAUCGCGUCAGUUCAAGGUUUCAUUUUUCAUUUCCUUGUGUUGAAUCAUCUGUUUACUUUGAUGUUAUUUGUGCUAACUUAGAUCUUAUUCACUUGUUUAGGAUUUAGCAUCAGUUUUGUAUAGUGCUGCAAAUUAACUUGUGUAUUGGUGUUCAGGGGGACUUUUGUUGCAGCAGUUUUCGUUUUUGACACCAUUCCUACUCUUACUUCUAUACCAGUGUUCAUUUCUGAUUUUACAAUGUCUUCUACGGUAAGGUUCUCCGAUGUUUGUGCAUGUUGUGAUUCUUCCAGUGAUUAGAUCGAUCUGCCUUGACCGAUUUGAGGUAAUUGUGAUUUGCUUAAUUUUGUUCCCUGCCACUGCUUUUUGAUUCGUAUAAGUUUGUUAUUUAGCACACUGUCAUUGAGAACCGCAAGUCUCAUGGUUGUAUUCUAAUAAUUUAAGAUUCCAAUCUAAUCAAAAUUCUGCGCUUAAUUCAUGCUUGAAAUUGUUCUUCAUUGAAACUUAUGUUUCUGUUGUGUAUAUCGUAUGUUGAGAUGAUUAAGGUCAUUUGGCAACCAAGAGCAAGGUUUGCUUCUGGAUGAAGAACAUCAUAAAUACAUUUUGUAGUGCCAGAAAUUGCAAGAGCCUAAAUAUGUAGGAGAAAUCUGGCUGCUCGUUAAUUGAUGAGGAUUUGUCAGUGAUCAAUAGGUCACCGUCAACUCCCGAUCUGUUUGAUCUUGACAUAAGUCGCGAUCUCGAAGAGAACUUGUCGGUUUUCAAGGAGUCUAGGCACUUGCUGCUACGAAGAACAAAUACGCGAAUGCUCCCUAGCAGUCAUCAUCGUCCAAGGAUCCCAAGGCCGGAAGUACCAGGUAGCGAAAGAUAUGGGGUUGAUGGUCGUGUCUCAAAACUGGUUCUGGGAGUCCAUCAAACUUAAGAUGCGUCUCGAUGAGGUGUUAUUUCCCGUGCUCUCACCAACUAUACAAGACAAACGAACUUUUGACAUCCACGAUGAUCAACAAUCACCCAGCAAUGAACAAAUAUCUACAGCAACGACUGAGUAACUACCCAAGAAUGAUGCUUACAUUGAGGAUCUACGCAAGCAGAACGAUAAUAUUAAAGACCAGGAAAUUGAAGAGAAGGAGAGGGAGUAGAAAAGAAAGGGUAGAGAAUUGGCUGAGCUCAGGAAGAAGACAAUGAGGUUGAAUUCUGAGAACGAGGUGCAAAUUUCCAAGGAUUUGGAGCGAGAGCGUAUAGCUCUGGAGCUGCAAGAGCAGAGGAAUGCAGAUGCAAAGCGUGAACAACGUUUGAAGGAGCAAGAAUGGAAAAAAAAAGGUUGCGGCAGACUGAUACAGAGGCUGAAUUGGCGACAGUAACCGAAACUUUGGGUGAGAUCAUGGAAGGAGGUGAGUAUAUAUAGUUCCUUGUCAGACUUUUCAAACACGGAAUCAGGUAAUUGUGUACCAGCUCUAGGAAAAGAGCGCGAUGGGUUGCCAGAAGACCUGGAGAAGCUGAUACACAAACUGGGUGCUGUUGAGGUAGAGCUCAAGUCAACAUUGAUAGAAAAAAACAAAUUUAAAGUAGAGAAUCAAUGCAAUUUGUAUCCCUCAGUCAAAGUCCAAGUCCGACACAUGUCAUGUUGACCUUUACCAUGGAAAUUACAUAUUGUAUGCAUUAAACAUAUUAUCCCCGGAAAUUGGUAUCGGAAUGCUCAUAGUAUACGUUUCACUUGAUAUCCUGCUGCCUAAUAUGCAAAUCUUUGAGUAUAAUUGUGUACUGUUUUAGUCAUGUUCCUAAUGCAUCUGAAUUACUUUGUGUAUAUCACUGCAAAAUUCAACAGGUACGGCAUGGUUAGCAUUUUGUAACCAACCUUAUCCUUUAGAUGUUGUCAUGUGUCUCUCCUCAGUGGUCCCUUAGUAAUAUUUUAUCGUGAUUUUUACUUUGUUAUAUUGAAUGUCUUGCCCGAAUCAGAAUUUAGUACCAUUCGUUGGUAUUGCAUGUGGGAAAGCUUCAGAGUUGUCAAGUUGCUAGCGAUGAAGUUGAUAAUGAAGCUACUAUAGCAUCAACUUUGUUCGGGGGAGUUAACUUAGACCCCCCUGUGUGGACACCCGAGGUGGUGCGGGAUAUUGCCGGGGAGUCGUUGGAAGGUGUCACUGAGCAGUCUUCAAAUUUGGAGGUUUUGCAAGAUGUCGAAGCUACGUCACUCUUCCUCUUCAAGAGAUGACUUGAAAGAGCCUGUGUGGACUCCCGAGGUGGCGAGGGGUACCGAUGACGAGCCGGUUUUGGUGAAUAUCCAGUCAAUUCAACAUUUUGAUGUUCUGCAAGAGGAGCACAAUAGCUCUCCAAUGAGGUGUGGCUCUGGUGGACCUUAUACUUGCAAAUUGAGAAAGUGUGCACCCCAACAAGAAGGGUGGAUCUUGAAGAUUUGUUCAAGACACAACGGAAAGGGGGGAAAUUUCAGUAUUCCUCAAAGGAGAGAGGUGUGCAAACUUGCUAACAAAUUUAGGCACAUCCACAGAGUAGUACCAUGGAACCAUAUCCGACAACAAUCAAGUAUCCUUGGAGGUUUCACAGGAAAACAGCUGCAAGGGUUGUUCAAAGAUUUGCAGAUAAGGCAGCUGGUAAAGGGCGGCGGGUAAUAAGUUCUUGAGACGGCUUCUUCUAAAGGUGGGCCUCUGUUGCAUUAAUUGCAACUACAACAUCCAAGUUGCAAAUGCUCAAUUUAAAUCCUAUUCUCCUUAAUUCUGACUUAAUUGCUAGUGCAAUUUCAUUCCCCAAGCUGCAUAGCAUUGCACUUCAUAUGGAUGCAAGACAAAUUCUACCUUGCACUACAUGGGAGCUGGGUUGCAGGUUUUUCAGAGACCAAAUUCGAGCUUAGGUGUGCAGGAGAGUUUUGUGCAUCCUGUUUGUACACUGCACUUCUCCAUUGUUCUGCAAUUGUGAGGGAUAAUUCUCGCUAGUGGUGGCACCUGAUACAUAAAAGGCAUCCAUAAAAAUGUAAUAAUGGAUGGUUGAGGUUGUAAAUUACUCAGCAAUGGCCAUAGUCCAAGCAUCUUAUGAUAGUUGGCGAUAGGUUUUGUGUACUCCAAAGCAUGAAGGCCUAGUAUACCAUGGUAUUAAGUGAAGAUGGAAACAAAUCAUACAAGCCAUAAGCCAAAUAGAUAGUAUUUCAAGCAGGCAAAGACUAUGCUAGAACAACAUUACCAACUAAGCUUGAGGAUGAGACUAUGCUUUGAUUAGCAUUGCUAACUAAGCUUGAUAUUUGUGUCAUGAAUCGUAUAACCCAGAGAAUAGGCAACAAUACUUCUUCAAACACCAUU